rnacentral:rRNA from 1 species
UGGGGAAUUUUGGACAAUGGGCGAAAGCCUGAUCCAGCAAUGCCGCGUGUGUGAAGAAGGCCUUCGGGUUGUAAAGCACUUUUGUCCGGAAAGAAAUCCUUGGCUCUAAUACGGUCGGGGGAUGACGGUACCGGAAGAAUAAGCACCGGCUAACUACGUGCCAGCAGCCGCGGUAAUACGUAGGGUGCAAGCGUUAAUCGGAAUUACUGGGCGUAAAGCGUGCGCAGGCGGUUUGCUAAGACCGAUGUGAAAUCCCCGGGCUCAACCUGGGAACUGCAUUGGUGACUGGCAGGCUAGAGUAUGGCAGAGGGGGGUAGAAUUCCACGUGUAGCAGUGAAAUGCGUAGAGAUGUGGAGGAAUACCGAUGGCGAAGGCAGCCCCCUGGGCCAAAUACUGACGCUCAUGCACGAAAGCGUGGGGAGCAAACAGGAUUAGAUACCCUGGUAGUCCACGCCCUAAACGAUGUCAACUAGUUGUUGGGGAUUCAUUUCCUUAGUAACGUAGCUAACGCGUGAAGUUGACCGCCUGGGGAGUACGGUCGCAAGAUUAAAACUCAAAUGAAUUGAC